AGAGUUUGAUCCUGGCUCAGGAUGAACGCUAGCUACAGGCUUAACACAUGCAAGUCGAGGGGAAACGACAUCGAAAGCUUGCUUUUGAUGGGCGUCGACCGGCGCACGGGUGAGUAACGCGUAUCCAACCUGCCCACCACUUGGGGAUAACCUUGCGAAAGUAAGACUAAUACCCAAUGACGUCUCUAGAAGACAUCUGAAAGAGAUUAAAGAUUUAUCGGUGAUGGAUGGGGAUGCGUCUGAUUAGCUUGUUGGCGGGGUAACGGCCGACCAAGGCGACGAUCAGUAGGGGUUCUGGAGAGGAAGGUCCCCCGACACUUGGAACUGGAGACACGGUCCAAACUCCUACGGGAGGCA
rnacentral:rRNA from 1 species